rfam:Schistosoma rodhaini strain Burundi genome assembly, scaffold: SROB_scaffold0021765
AUCUAGCUGACGAGUUUCAAAUAGAAAGAAACGCGCAUCCUGGAU